rnacentral:rRNA from 1 species
ACUGGGUGGCGACCGGCAAACGGGUGCGGAACACGUACGCAACCUUCCUUCAAGCGGGGAAUAGCCCAGAGAAAUUUGGAUUAAUACCCCAUAGGAAUGUAGUCUCGCAUGAGACAGCAUUUAAAGAUUUAUCACUUGAAGAUGGGCGUGCGUCUGAUUAGGUAGUUGGUGAGGUAACGGCUCACCAAGCCGACGAUCAGUAACUGGCGUGAGAGCGCGACCAGUCACACGGGCACUGAGACACGGGCCCGACUCCUACGGGAGGCAGCAGUAAGGAAUAUUGGUCAAUGGACGCAAGUCUGAACCAGCCAUGCCGCGUGGAGGAUGAAUGCCCUCUGGGUUGUAAACUUCUUUUAUCUGGGACGAAACACUUCUUAUCUAAGGAGCUUGACGGUACCAGAUGAAUAAGCACCGGCUAACUCCGUGCCAGCAGCCGCGGUAAUACGGAGGGUGCAAGCGUUAUCCGGAUUCACUGGGUUUAAAGGGUGCGUAGGCGGAUGUGUAAGUCUGUGGUGAAAUCUCUGAGCUUAACUCAGAAACUGCCGUGGAUACUAUAUGUCUUGAAUGUUGUGGAGGUUAGCGGAAUAUGUCAUGUAGCGGUGAAAUGCUUAGAUAUGACAUAGAACACCGAUUGCGAAGGCAGCUGGCUACACAACUAUUGACGCUGAGGCACGAAAGCGUGGGGAUCAAACAGGAUUAGAUACCCUGGUAGUCCACGCCCUAAACGAUGGAUACUCGACAUUUGCGAUAUAUUGUAAGUGUCUG